rnacentral:rRNA from 1 species
GACGAACGCUGGCGGCGUGCCUUAUACAUGCAAGUCGAGCGAAUCGGUGGAUGGGUGAGUAACGCGUGGGUAUACUGCCCUUAAGUCUGGGAUACCAUUUGGAAAAAGAUGAUAAUACCGGAUACUAAAGGAUGGACCUGCGAUGCAUUAGCUAUGUGGUAAGGUAACGGCUUACCAAGGCGAUGAUGCAGAGCCGAGUUGAUAGACGGAUCGGCCACAUUGGGACUGAGACACGGCCCAAACUCCUACGGGAGGCAGCAGUUGGGAAUCUGCCACAAGGGACGAAAGUCUGAUUGAGCAACGCCGCGUGAGUGAAGAAGGUUUUCGGAUCGUAAAGCUCUGUGGUUGGUGAAGCGGUAAUCAACCAGUAAGUAACGGCUAACUACGUGCCAGCAGCCGCGGUAAUUC